UACGUAGGGGGCAAGCGUUGUCCGGAAUUAUUGGGCGUAAAGCGCGCGCAGGCGGUUUAUUAAGUUCGGUGUUUAAGCCCAGGGCUCAACCCUGGUUCGCACUGGAAACUGGUAGACUAGAGUGUAGGAGAGGAAAGUGGAAUUCCACGUGUAGCGGUGAAAAUGCGUAGAGAUGUGGAGGAACACCAGUGGCGAAGGCGACUUUCUGGCCUAUAACUGACGCUGAGGCGCGAAAGCGUGGGGAGCAAACAGG
rnacentral:rRNA from 1 species